rnacentral:rRNA from 1 species
UACGAACCGUGCGAACGUUGUUCGGAAUCACUGGGCUUAAAGGGCGCGUAGGCGGGCCAUCAAGUCCGGGGUGAAAUCCUUCGGCUUAACCGGAGAAUUGCCUUGGAUACUGGUGGUCUUGAGGGAAGUAGGGGUCUGCGGAACUUCCGGUGGAGCGGUGAAAUGUGUUGAUAUCGGAAGGAACGCCGGUGGCGAAAGCGACUCUCUGGUCGGUACCUGACGCUGAGGCGCGAAAGCUAGGGGAGCAAACGGG